GACGAACGCUGGCGGCGUGCUUAACACAUGCAAGUCGAACGCUGAAGCUCAGCUUUUGUUGGGUGGAUGAGUGGCGAACGGGUGAGUAACACGUGAGUAACCUGCCCCCUUCUUUGGGAUAACGCCCGGAAACGGGUGCUAAUACUGGAUAUUCACUGGUCUUCGCAUGGGGGUUGGUGGAAAGGGUUUUUCUGGGGGGGGAUGGGCUCGCGGCCUAUCAGCUUGUUGGUGGGGUGAUGGCCUACCAAGGCUUUGACGGGUAGCCGGCCUGAGAGGUUGACCGGUCACAUUGGGACUGAGAUACGGCCCAGACUCCUACGGGAGGCAGCAGUGGGGAAUAUUGCACAAUGGGCGCAAGCCUGAUGCAGCGACGCCGCGUGAGGGAUGGAGGCCUUCGGGUUGUGAACCUCUUUCGCUCAUGGUCAAGCCGCAACAAUGGUUGUGGUGAGGGUAGUGGGUAAAGAAGCGCCGGCUAACUACGUG
rnacentral:rRNA from 1 species